UAGUGGCGCACGGGUGCGUAACGCGUGAGAAUCUGCCCUUAGGUACGGAAUAGCCCGGGGAAACCUGGAAUAAUACCGUAUAAUGACGGUCCAAAGAUUUAUCGCCUAAGGAUGAGCCCGCGUAGGAUUAGCUUGUUGGUGAGGUAAAAGCUCACCAAGGCGACGAUCCUUAGCUGGUCUGAGAGGAUGAUCAGCCACACUGGGACUGAGACACGGCCCAGACUCCUACGGGAGGCAGCAGUGGGGAAUAUUGGACAAUGGGCGAAAGCCUGAUCCAGCAAUGCCGCGUGAGUGAUGAAGGCCUUAGGGUUGUAAAGCUCUUUUGCCAGGGAUGAUAAUGACAGUACCUGGAGAAUAAGCUCCGGCUAACUCCGUGCCAGCAGCCGCGGUAAUACGGAGGGAGCUAGCGUUGUUCGGAAUUACUGGGCGUAAAGCGCGCGUAGGCGGCUUUGUAAGUUAGGGGUGAAAUCCCGGAGCUCAACUCCGGAACUGCCUCUAAGACUGCAUCGCUUGAAUCCGGGAGAGGUGAGUGGAAUUCCGAGUGUAGAGGUGAAAUUCGUAGAUAUUCGGAAGAACACCAGUGGCGAAGGCGGCUCACUGGACCGGCAU
rnacentral:rRNA from 1 species